rnacentral:misc_RNA from 1 species
AACAUAGUUAAACUAAUAAAAACAGGGCGAUUUAACGUCCUAAGGCUGAGAGAAGUUUUUUCUACUCGGCAAGGGUUAAUCUCGAUUGUUGUGUUACCGAUCGAGCGUUUCACAAAAUGCGAGAGAAAUCUCGCAUUUUUAAUUUUGCAGUAAGGCUAGUUUUUAUAUAAAUAUGCUAUAACUAGGGUUUUAGUUUAACUAUGUGAAAUGUAAAUAAUAGAUGUGAAGUCGCUUU